UAAAAUUUAAAUUAUAAAAUAUUAGAUUAGUAAUAAUAUAUAUAUAUAUAUUAAUAUAUGUUUGAAAUUUAAAAAAUUUGGCAGUAUUUUAUCUAAUUAGAGGAACUUGUUUUUGAAUUGAUAAUCCUCAUUAAAUCUUACUUAAAUUUUUAAAUUUAUAUACCGUCAUUGUAAAAAAAUCUUUUUAAAGUAAAAAUUUUUAAUAUAAAUAAAAUUUUAUAUUUUAGAUCAAGGUGUAAUUUAUAUUUAAGUUAAAAUGAGUUACAAUAAAUAUAUUUAUGGAUUAUUUUUUGAAAAAAAAAUAUAAAAAUGGAUUUAAUAGUAAAUUUAAUAGAUUAAAUUAAAUUGAUUUAAGAUUUAAAAUGUGU
rnacentral:rRNA from 1 species